rnacentral:tRNA from 1 species
AGGGGGGUAGUUUAGUGGUAGAACUGCGGUCUCCAAAACCGUUGGUGGGGGUUCGAUUCCCUCCCCCCCUG